rnacentral:rRNA from 1 species
UGGGGAAUAUUGCACAAUGGGCGCAAGCCUGAUGCAGCCAUGCCGCGUGUAUGAAGAAGGCCUUCGGGUUGUAAAGUACUUUCAGCGGGGAGGAAGGUGUUGAGGUCAAUAACCUCAGCAAUUGACGUUACCCGCAGAAGAAGCACCGGCUAACUCCGUGCCAGCAGCCGCGGUAAUACGGAGGGUGCAAGCGUUAAUCGGAAUUACUGGGCGUAAAGCGCACGCAGGCGGUCUGUCAAGUCGGAUGUGAAAUCCCCGGGCUCAACCUGGGAACUGCAUUCGA